CGGGUCCUAUAAUGCAGUCGAGCGGUAAGGCCCUUCGGGGUACACGAGCGGCGGACGGCUGAGUAACGCGUGGGAACAUGCCCCAAAGUGAGGGAUAACGCACCGAAAGGUGUGCUAAUACCGCAUAUGGUCUUCGGAUUAAAGGAUUUAUCCGCUUUGGGAGUGGCCCGCGUACGAUUAGAUUGUUGGUGAGGUAAUGGCUCACCAAGUCGACGAUCGUUAACUGGUCUGAGAGGAAGAUCAGUCAGACUGGAACUGAGACACGGUCCAGACUCCUACGGGAGGCAGCAGUAAGGAAUCUUCCACAAUGGGCGAAAGCCUGAUGGAGCAACGCCGCGUGCAGGAUGAAGGCCCUCGGGUCGUAAACUGCUUUUAUGAGUGAAGAAUAUGACGGUAACUCAUGAAUAAGCACCGGCUAACUACGUGCCAGCAGCCGCGGUCAUACGUAGGGUGCAAGCAUUAUCCGGAGUGACUGGGCGUAAAGAGUUGCGUAGGUGGUUAGUAAAGUGAAUAGUGAAACCUGGUGGCUCAACCAUACAGACUAUUAUUCAAACUCACUAACUCGAGAGUGGUAGAGGUAACUGGAAUUUCUUGUGUAGGAGUGAAAUCCGUAGAUAUAAGAAGGAACACCAAUGGCGUAGGCAGGUUACUGGACCAUUUCUGACACUAAGGCACGAAAGCGUGGGGAGCGAACCGGAUUAGAUACCCGGGUAGUCCACGCCGUAAACGAUGGAUACUAGCUGUUGGAGGUAUCGACCCCUUCAGUAGCGAAGCUAACGCGUUAAGUAUCCCGCCUGUGGAGUACGGUCGCAAGACUAAAACAUAAAGGAAUUGACGGGGAUCAGCACAAGCGGUGGAUUAUGUUCUUUAAUUCGAUGAUAACCGAUGAACCUUACCAGGGUUUGAC
rnacentral:rRNA from 1 species